rnacentral:lncRNA from 1 species
AGGGAACUUACAGCUUUAGACUUCACUUAAGAAAAAUAAAAAAAAAAAACCCUCCUGCUUUACCGUAGGUUUUGAAUGCAGAUUUACUAUAAAAUAAGUGAAUAAUAAUGCUGGGUGAUUUUGGAAAGUGUUCUUUUAUGCACUCACUGCAUUUAAUACAAUCGCAAAAUGGCUGCCCAACAGGUGGUCUUUUCAGAGUGUUAAGCCACAACAAUCGGAACAAAAAGGACACCAGAAUCUAAUGUUCUUCAGAAUUGAAAAAGCUGUUCACUUUCUUUUGUUCCUUGUUCGAUUUGACCAUGUUCAUUAUUGUUGAGUCACAAAGGCAGGACAUUCUUUUUUGACAUUUUGCCAUAAAUAGACACUGACUGAGCUGGCUAGCCAGCUAGCUGUUUUGUCACACGCAAACGGAAACUAGUCCAGAACAAUGCAGCCGCAUUCUUGGUACUUACAUGGCCGAGGAAAGUACUAGUUUUGACAUGUUGCAAAUCUGGCAAAGUCUAGGUUAACAAAAGUAUGUUUGACAAAGGAAGAAGUUUCUUUUCCUAUAUUUUCUCCAAAAGUGUAUGGGAAGAAUCUGACCCUGUUCUUGGACUACAAGGCACAAUUCCUAACGUAAUCAUAAUAAUGAUAGAAAAUUGCAUAAAACAUUAUUAAUACUAAUUAAUGAUUAUAAUUUAAUUAAAUGCAAUUGAUAAGAAUAGAAUACUUGUUAAUUAUAAUAAUUAAUAAUUAUAUUUAUUAAGGACUUACUAUGUGUCAAGCACUGUUCUAAGAGCUGAGAUAGAUCCAAGUCAUCAAAUGGACACAGUCCCUCUCCCACAUGGGGUUCACAGUCUAAGUAGAAGGGAGGUUAGGUAUUAAAUUUCCAUUUUACAGGUGAGGACACUAAGGCAGAGAGAAUAGAAGUGACUUGCCAAAGGUCACACAGGAGGCAAUUGGCAGAGUUGGUAUUAGAACCCAGAUCCUGGGUUUCAUAAAAU